CGGGUGAGUAACACGUAUCCAACCUGCCGUCUACUCUUGGCCAGCCUUCUGAAAGGAAGAUUAAUCCAGGAUGGGAUCAUGAGUUCACAUGUCCGCAUGAUUAAAGGUAUCUUCCGGUAGACGAUGGGAUGCGUUCCAUUAGAUAGUAGGCGGGGUAACGGCCCACCUAGUCAACGAUGGAUAGGGGUUCUGAGAGGAAGGUCCCCCACAUUGGAACUGAGACACGGUCCAA
rnacentral:rRNA from 1 species